AGUAACAAUAAAACAAUAAAUGUACUGGCACGAAAGAAAGUGAGCUAAACAUGUAUGUUGUAUAUUACAUACGUCGCAUAGUAUGUAUAAAAUACACGUUUAGGGGUGAUAGGCUUUUCAAACGUUCUUAUAACUUGUUCCAUAUGAAAAGUAUUAAGUACCGGAAAAAAUUUAAAAAGUUAAGCUUUUAAAUAAUUAUAAAAAAUAUUAUUCUCUUGUAAUGUAGUGUAAAAGCUGCUUACAUGAUAGUUUAACAUUAAACAUAAUAACUUAUAUUAUAUAAUAUGGCAAUAAAAAUUUUGUUACUAUUUGAUAAUGUUAUUAUUAGUAAUAUUAACAUAUAUACUAAAGGAACUCGGCAAAAUAGCCACUCAACUGUUUAUCAAAAACAUAGCUAUAUGAAUUAAUAUAUAGUUAUUUCUGCUCAAUGAUGUUUAAAUAGCCGCAGUACUCUGACUGUGCAAAGGUAGCAUAAUCAGUUGGCUUUUAAUUGGAGUCUGGCAUGAAAGAAAAUAUGGGUAGCAACUAUCUUAGUGUAUUUAUUUGAAUUUAUUAAACAAGUGCAAAUACUUGUGGUUUAACAAUAGACGAGAAGACCCUAGAAACUUGAAUUAGUUUUUGUUGGGGCGACAGGAUUACAUUUAACUAAUCUUAUAUACAUGACGCAAUGUGGAAAGUAUAAGUUACUCUAGGGAUAACAGCAUAAUUUUAUUAGUUUGUGACCUCGAUGUUGGACUAGGUACUUUACCCUUAAGACAGGGGUAUAUUAUGCUCUGUUCGAGCAGCAGCUACCUACAU
rnacentral:rRNA from 1 species